GCGGGAGGCGUUUGCUGCUGCCUGGCGGUCCCUGUGGCCUCGGUCCCGGCAAGCCAGACAUGAAGAUCACGAGGCAGAAACACGCCAAGAAGCAUCUCGGCUUCUUUCGCAACAAUUUCGGGGUCCGCGAGCCGUACCAGAUCCUGCUGGACGGUACCUUCUGUCAGGCGGCGCUGCGGGGCCGCAUCCAGCUGCGGGAGCAGCUGCCCCACUACCUCAUGGGGGAGACACAGCUGUGCACCACCAGGUGUGUGUUAAAAGAGUUAGAAACGUUGGGAAAGGACUUAUAUGGGGCAAAACUGAUUGCACAAAAAUGCCAGGUUCGAAAUUGCUCCCAUUUCAAGAAUGCAGUGAAUGGAUCCGAAUGUCUGCUUUCUAUGGUUGAAGAGGGAAUUCCUCAUCAUUAUUUUGGGGCAUCACAGGAUCAGAAUUUGUCUAUGAAAGUAAAGAAAAAGCCCGGAGUUCCUCUUAUGUUUAUUAUUCAGAACACUAUAGUCUUGGACAAACCUUCUCCCAAAACAAUUGCCUUUGUCAAAUACUUAGCAAAAGUUAUACACUAG